rnacentral:lncRNA from 1 species
CUUUGCGUGGUAUGUUACAUAUGGGUCAUGAUAUUUGAUGGCAGACCGUUUGUUCCAGGGAUUGAUCAUCUAGACUAAUGUGUUAUGGGCUAUGUCAGAAAAUGCCACAGGCUGCGUGGCAAGGUACGUCUGAUUAUGUUCUAGCAUGGUAGCUUGUACUCCAGAGGCCAGCUGACGACUCGCAAGAGGUUCCUACUAUUGAUUCAGUUCCAGUAUUGAGGGACAUUUCAGAUGCGUUUCUUGUGCCCGGACAUGAGGCUAUAUGUGUUUAUCGUAAUGAGCAUAUUUGACUCGAUAUGCGUCUUAUUUUAUGAGAUAUAUGUGAGGAUCGGGUGGCACGCCGCCAUGGGUAUGUUAUUUGGACCGGGUUGCACGCCGCAACAGUGUAAUAUAGAGAAUAGUUUCCUAUAUGUUACUUUGUAUGCCUUGUUUCUUGGUUUAUGAGGAAAUCCAUGUUGGGUGUUGCUCAGCGAAUAGCGCAUUGGUUAUGUCCUUCAGGAUUGAAUAGUGUAUAAUACUUGCUUCACCAUGGGUGUGAUGGAUUGCUUGGUUCAGACCUUAAUCUGUGUGCGGCUGUCUGUGUUAAGCAUGGUAAC